rnacentral:rRNA from 1 species
UUAAGCGACUAAGCGUACACGGUGGAUGCCCUGGCAGUCAGAGGCGAUGAAGGACGUGCUAAUCUGCGAUAAGCGUCGGUAAGGUGAUAUGAACCGUUAUAACCGGCGAUUUCCGAAUGGGGAAACCCAGUGUGUUUCGACACACUAUCAUUAACUGAAUCCAUAGGUUAAUGAGGCGAACCGGGGGAACUGAAACAUCUAAGUACCCCGAGGAAAAGAAAUCAACCGAGAUUCCCCCAGUAGCGGCGAGCGAACGGGGAGCAGCCCAGAGCCUGAAUCAGUAUGUGUGUUAGUGGAAGCGUCUGGAAAGGCGCGCGAUACAGGGUGACAGCCCCGUACACAAAAAUGCACAUGCUGUGAGCUCGAUGAGUAGGGCGGGACACGUGGUAUCCUGUCUGAAUAUGGGGGGACCAUCCUCCAAGGCUAAAUACUCCUGACUGACCGAUAGUGAACCAGUACCGUGAGGGAAAGGCGAAAAGAACCCCGGCGAGGGGAGUGAAAAAGAACCUGAAACCGUGUACGUACAAGCAGUGGGAGCACGCUUAGGCGUGUGACUGCGUACCUUUUGUAUAAUGGGUCAGCGACUUAUAUUCUGUAGCAAGGUUAACCGAAUAGGGGAGCCGAAGGGAAACCGAGUCUUAACUGGGCGUUAAGUUGCAGGGUAUAGACCCGAAACCCGGUGAUCUAGCCAUGGGCAGGUUGAAGGUUGGGUAACACUAACUGGAGGACCGAACCGACUAAUGUUGAAAAAUUAGCGGAUGACUUGUGGCUGGGGGUGAAAGGCCAAUCAAACCGGGAGAUAGCUGGUUCUCCCCGAAAGCUAUUUAGGUAGCGCCUCGUGAAUUCAUCUCCGGGGGUAGAGCACUGUUUCGGCAAGGGGGUCAUCCCGACUUACCAACCCGAUGCAAACUGCGAAUACCGGAGAAUGUUAUCACGGGAGACACACGGCGGGUGCUAACGUCCGUCGUGAAGAGGGAAACAACCCAGACCGCCAGCUAAGGUCCCAAAGUCAUGGUUAAGUGGGAAACGAUGUGGGAAGGCCCAGACAGCCAGGAUGUUGGCUUAGAAGCAGCCAUCAUUUAAAGAAAGCGUAAUAGCUCACUGGUCGAGUCGGCCUGCGCGGAAGAUGUAACGGGGCUAAACCAUGCACCGAAGCUGCGGCAGCGACGCUUAUGCGUUGUUGGGUAGGGGAGCGUUCUGUAAGCCUGCGAAGGUGUGCUGUGAGGCAUGCUGGAGGUAUCAGAAGUGCGAAUGCUGACAUAAGUAACGAUAAAGCGGGUGAAAAGCCCGCUCGCCGGAAGACCAAGGGUUCCUGUCCAACGUUAAUCGGGGCAGGGUGAGUCGACCCCUAAGGCGAGGCCGAAAGGCGUAGUCGAUGGGAAACAGGUUAAUAUUCCUGUACUUGGUGUUACUGCGAAGGGGGGACGGAGAAGGCUAUGUUGGCCGGGCGACGGUUGUCCCGGUUUAAGCGUGUAGGCUGGUUUUCCAGGCAAAUCCGGAAAAUCAAGGCUGAGGCGUGAUGACGAGGCACUACGGUGCUGAAGCAACAAAUGCCCUGCUUCCAGGAAAAGCCUCUAAGCAUCAGGUAACAUCAAAUCGUACCCCAAACCGACACAGGUGGUCAGGUAGAGAAUACCAAGGCGCUUGAGAGAACUCGGGUGAAGGAACUAGGCAAAAUGGUGCCGUAACUUCGGGAGAAGGCACGCUGAUAUGUAGGUGAAGUCCCUCGCGGAUGGAGCUGAAAUCAGUCGAAGAUACCAGCUGGCUGCAACUGUUUAUUAAAAACACAGCACUGUGCAAACACGAAAGUGGACGUAUACGGUGUGACGCCUGCCCGGUGCCGGAAGGUUAAUUGAUGGGGUCAGCGCAAGCGAAGCUCUUGAUCGAAGCCCCGGUAAACGGCGGCCGUAACUAUAACGGUCCUAAGGUAGCGAAAUUCCUUGUCGGGUAAGUUCCGACCUGCACGAAUGGCGUAAUGAUGGCCAGGCUGUCUCCACCCGAGACUCAGUGAAAUUGAACUCGCUGUGAAGAUGCAGUGUACCCGCGGCAAGACGGAAAGACCCCGUGAACCUUUACUAUAGCUUGACACUGAACAUUGAGCCUUGAUGUGUAGGAUAGGUGGGAGGCUUUGAAGUGUGGACGCCAGUCUGCAUGGAGCCGACCUUGAAAUACCACCCUUUAAUGUUUGAUGUUCUAACGUUGACCCGUGAUCCGGGUUGCGGACAGUGUCUGGUGGGUAGUUUGACUGGGGCGGUCUCCUCCUAAAGAGUAACGGAGGAGCACGAAGGUUGGCUAAUCCUGGUCGGACAUCAGGAGGUUAGUGCAAUGGCAUAAGCCAGCUUGACUGCGAGCGUGACGGCGCGAGCAGGUGCGAAAGCAGGUCAUAGUGAUCCGGUGGUUCUGAAUGGAAGGGCCAUCGCUCAACGGAUAAAAGGUACUCCGGGGAUAACAGGCUGAUACCGCCCAAGAGUUCAUAUCGACGGCGGUGUUUGGCACCUCGAUGUCGGCUCAUCACAUCCUGGGGCUGAAGUAGGUCCCAAGGGUAUGGCUGUUCGCCAUUUAAAGUGGUACGCGAGCUGGGUUUAGAACGUCGUGAGACAGUUCGGUCCCUAUCUGCCGUGGGCGCUGGAGAACUGAGGGGGGCUGCUCCUAGUACGAGAGGACCGGAGUGGACGCAUCACUGGUGUUCGGGUUGUCAUGCCAAUGGCACUGCCCGGUAGCUAAAUGCGGAAGAGAUAAGUGCUGAAAGCAUCUAAGCACGAAACUUGCCCCGAGAUGAGUUCUCCCUGACUCCUUGAGAGUCCUGAAGGAACGUUGAAGACGACGACGUUGAUAGGCCGGGUGUGUAAGCGCAGCGAUGCGUUGAGCUAACCGGUACUAAUGAACCGUGAGGCUUAACCU